CUAAGUAAACAAAUAAUGUAAUGUGAAAAUGAUUGGCUGAAUAUAUGUUCUACGUGACGCACGUCACCAAAUUUAGACUAUAACUUUUUUUCACUUUCGGUUUCUAUUUCCUUCAUAUUUUCGAAGAUGGUGUGAUAUUGGUUAUUACUAAAGGAAUUUAAAAAUGAUAUUACUGUUAUACUUUUUAAGCAAAUGAAUCUUUGUUAAAUGUUUUUAAUAGGCAUGUAGACGUGUGCAUUAUUUGACUGUAUGAUCAAGAUUAACAGGCAUACAUCAGUCAACAAUUUGGUGAGGACUGACAACACUCUUCAGCAGGUGCCAAACCACAAAAACGAACUUGGCUGUAGCAAAUGGUGACAUUCUGUAGCAAAUGGUGUCAUUCUGUCAAUGUGCAGGUACAUGGCACAUAAGUUGUUGUAUACUCUGGUUGUGAACACAGGUGCAUCUAAAGUGAGGAUAUAUACAGCUGGACAAAGUUCAAGCAAGGUGUUGAAUGUGUGCGUUUUGGAACCUUCUAAGAUUCAUAAAGUUAUUAUGGUUUGUGUAAUGCUGCAUAACUGUGCUAGAAAGCUCCAUCUGAUUCAGAGAAAUUCAAUGACUGAUCCAGGUUUGGUUUUGUUACAAGAUGAUAACAUUGAUAUGAAAGAGAUUUCAAACCAGUGGUUCAUGAUGUUGAUAGCAGAGCUGUUAUUUACUAGUAAUACAUUUACUCUUAAAGACAGCUAUAGAUGACAAAGUAAUUUACAUGCUCUGUUAACACAAAAUGAUAUUCAUAUUUUACAUUUUUCAUACAUCUUCAUUUUGAAUUUAAAUCAAUAUGCAACAGGAAAAUAAUGUUACAGUUAGAUGAUUAUAAUUGAGAACUUCAAUGCAAAACAAUUCAUAAAAUAAAGACAAAUUAACAAAAUAAUUAUGAAAAAUACGAAUAAAAAAUAAUUUUAAGUAAUAAUUUUUGUUCAUGUACAAUACUGAGUAACUUUAAUUACAUGUUCCCUCUGACAUGUCACCCACUUUAAUUAACAAUUUAAGAUGUGUUUAUCUUAAGUUAUCUACACUUUGUUUAUUUACUUCUACACUACACUUGCUUCACUCUUCACAAUUUGUAAGGUGAAAUAAAUUAUAAAUAUUACUUUGAA
rnacentral:lncRNA from 1 species